rnacentral:rRNA from 1 species
GACGAACGCUGGCGGCGUGCCUAAUACAUGCAAGUAGGACGCAGUUGCGAACGGGUGAGUAACGCGUAGGUAACUACCUAUUAGAGGGGGAUAACUAUUGGAAACGAUAGCUAAUACCGCAUACUAGUAGAUGGACCUGAGUUGUAUUAGCUAGUAGGUAGGGUAAUGGCCUACCUAGGCAACGAUACAUAGCCGAGCUGAGAGGGUGUUCGGCCGCACUGGGAGUGAGACACGGCCCAGACUCCUCCGGGAGGCAGCAGUAGGGAGUCGUCGGGAAUUGGGGAAAACGUGACCCGGCAAGGCCGCGUGAGUGAGGAAGGUUUUCGGAUCGUAAAGCUCUGUUGUUAAGGAAGCGGUACUUACCCAGAAAGGGACGGCUAACUACGUGCCAGCAGCCGCGGUAAUAC